rnacentral:tRNA from 1 species
UGCUCAGUACCGACGUCCCGACAUGUGGUCGUCGGGAGCACGGAGAGCCGACAGAAUCGUCGGCUUUGGUUAGAGCACUCGCCUGAAGAGCGAGGUGUCGGCAGUUCGAGUCUGCCCCCGA